rnacentral:lncRNA from 1 species
AGUGGGGCAGAGGAUAAGCAGGCUGGAAGAGCCGACUCCUACGGCUGCGAUCCAAGAGGUGCCUGCAACAGUUGCCCCCCGACUUCUGUCGCCCCCAUGGAGGCAAACAAGUCUGGAACAGGGAAUGGGGGUCUGGGAGAGAAGAUGAAAAGACUGAGGAUCAGAGAGGUGAGCAGUAGCUUUCCCAAAGGCCCAGAGCCAAGAAGCGUUGAAGCUUAAAAGCACGCCGCGGCAGGGAAGAUCAAGCAAGCCCUGCGCCUAUCUGCAGGAUCAGAAAGGAGGCCUAUAGAGCUGGAGCAGAGUGAACAAAGAAGAGAAGAUAGGAGACGAGGUGUGAGGUGGAGAGGCGGCCAGGGCCAGAUCGCACAGGGCCUUGCAGGCCAAGGUAAGAAUUUGGGACUUCAAGAACAGUGGGACACCUGAGAAGGUUUCAAGCAGGGGAGUGGCAUGGUUCUAUGAACACUUUUGUGACAAUCCUGGCUGCUUUGGAGGCCGCAGUGAAGAACCAGAGGAUGGAGUGUGGGGGUCAGCGUGAGGAAGCUGAUGAAUUCCACAUCACCAUCAGGUGAUGAUGACAGGAAGCAAUAAUUGGUGAUUGGCUGAAUGUGGGGCAUGGGAGUCACGGAGAAGUCAAGAAUGAGGUCCAGGUAUGUUAAAGUAUCUUUCCUGGCACAGAAGAUUGGGGCAGGUGGAAGAGCUUAAGCUCAGGUAAGAAAGAUCAGGGUAGGACCUGAGGUCCUGAAGGAUGAAAGGAAGGGCAGGAGGUGGGAAACAGCAUUCAAGGGGGUUGCCAAGGUUGAAGACCCCAAGGUGGAGACAAACUUGGCUUUCCCAAGUUUGUCCUCAAGUUCCUUUGAGGUUGGAUUUGAAGUUGCAGGUGGAAGGCUUCUGCGCAGAAGCAUUCUGUGUAAGGAAGUUCUACUGGGGACAAAUGUGGGGACCGGCUGGUAGCAUGGAAUCUGGAGACAGGAUGACCAAUGGGGAGGCUGGGACAGUGGUCCAAGGCGGCAGGGGAGAAAGGAGCCAUGAGGAUUAGGAUGAGGAUACAUAUUCAAGCUGGAGUCUACAGGAACAGGAUAUGAGAAGUGGGUGCUGGGCUGGGGUGGCUGGGUGGAUGCGAGGCCAUCACUGAAAGACACAGUGAGAAGGGAAGCAGGGGGAAGACACUUGGGUCAGUUCCAGGGGGAAAGUCAGGAAGCAGCAUCUUCCAAGAAGCAAGGUCUGUGGACCAGAAGUCAGCAGAUGCUUAACAAAUUCACAUGGAUACAAACAUUCCUCAUCAUAUCUCCCCACCACAGCCAAUUUUCCACAUCCACCAGAAUUCCCAGUUCGCCUCAUGUAAGAAAAGAAGCACUGUGAUGUGGCUCAAAGAAGAUAAAAGAAGACUAACUGGCCGGGUGUGGUGGCUCACACCUGUAAUCCCAGCACUUUGCAAGGUCGACGAGGGCGGAUCACCUGAGGUCAGGAGUUCAAGACCAGCCUGGCCAACAUACAAUAAAACCCCAUCUCUACUGAAAAAUACAAAAAUUAGCUGGGCAUGGUGGCGCACGCCUGUAGUCCCAGCUACUUGAGAAACUGAGGCAGGAAAAUCGCUUGAACCCAGGAGGCGGAGGUUGCAGUGAGCUGAGAUCACACCACUCUACUUCAGCCUGGGUGACAGAGCGAGACUGUCUCUGAAAAACAAACCAACAAAUAAAAGAAGACCAACCAGUCCCUGUUCUGAAAUUCGCCCUCUAGUGACCUAGGGCCAGCCCCCUGAACUCCCUGGACCUCAGUUUCCCCAGAUAUAUGUCUGAGAUGGGCUGGAGAAGCACUCUAAGACUUCUUCCAGCUUGAACAUUCUUUUAUUUUAUUUUACUUUAUUUGGCUCACUGCAACCUCCACCUCCUG